UUUUUUUUUUUUUUUUUUUGCCUCCUUCGCGUCGAGGCUCAGCAAAAGACAAAUGAUGUUAAGGUACGCCCCACCGUCACCGCCGGCAUGCACAUCAGCACAUGCAGGAAGACAGCAGGUUUACUUUAUGGCAAGCGAUGCGUGUCCGGGGUAAGCCAAGCAGGGGCGGCUGGACUGAAUCAUUGGAGGAUUGUAUAGGCAAUUGUUUAGAGGUUGGCGUGAGAUUUUAAAAAGAGGGCCGCAUGCUGAUGUUGCCAAAUAUCUAGACCUAAUUCUUUUGCAUUAUUCGUCAGUUACUAAUCUAAUCCUACUUAUAAACAACAGGAUUCAUUACUAGGCCGAUAAUUGACUUCUAAAACUCCCAUGGUUGGAAAAGAGAAAUAGUAGUGUGGUGUAGUGUAGUCCCGUGGCCUAAUAAUUGCACGUGAAUCUCAAUACUUCCAACCCAUAGUUUAGCCUGAUUUGAGUGGCAGUGGUCCAAACUACAAUGCCACUUGCCUAAAUGAUGCAAUCCAUGGACUGUAAGCAUCAAAGAGAAUUGCCAAAAAACAAGGGGUCGGGGUGUUGGGGGAAAAGGUACGAGGAUGUGGCGCACGUACCAGUCAGGCCACCAUGAACUCAUUUCCAUACUCAACAACUGCGGAGCAUUUCAGUUGCGAGAAAAGCAGAAAACAUGAUUGCUAAUACAGAAAACCAACAACCCAUUUAAGUCUAUGAAUUCCAAUUUCUUUCUGCCGGUUGAUAUAGACAUGCUCCAGUAAUUGUUUACCUCCGGCUUCAUGAUUCAUGACAGUGAUUUGAUAACUUGGAUCUCCUGUAUCACUACUUAAUGCUUCGCCUCAGAAAUCUAGCCACUACUUCUUUAUGCCUAGAAGCCUGGAACUCCAACACCAUUAUCCACAGGCAAUUGAGGCUGAGAAACAGUAGUGUAGUGCUUAUGAACAAUCAUUACGUCAUCCAUAUGCACCAAGUGUAAAAACCAGAAAGCAAUCGCACGAAAGAUGCAUUAUCUAAAGUUGGAGAACCCCACUUUUUGGAGUACAAAAUACAUCUUCAGUAGACAUUCUUCAAAUGCCCAAGUAAUAAUAAGCCCAUUUGUUUUUCUUCUUAUUCCUACGGAUGAAGUCAAAAAGCUUAAGCAGAAGCCGAGUCUCCAAUCAAUUCUAGUAUCCCCAGUAGUCGUUGCGGAUUUCAUCAUCAAACUUCUUCCUGAGU
rnacentral:lncRNA from 1 species